UGCGUAGGUGGCCUGACAAGUCAGGGGUCAAAGGCAACGGCUCAACCGUUGUAAGCCUUUGAAACUGUCGGGCUUGAGUUCAGGAGAGGAAAGCGGAAUUCCUAGUGUAGCGGUGAAAUGCGUAGAUAUUAGGAGGAACACCAGUGGCGAAGGCGGCUUUCUGGACUGAUACUGACACUGAGGCACGAAAGCGUGGGGAGCAAACA
rnacentral:rRNA from 1 species